ensembl:lncRNA
CCGCUCUGCUGUUCCGACCUGCAAAAUAAAGUUCAGAAACGGUUCAAACACCCAAACAGUUACGGUUAAUAUAGUUCCGUUCUGUUCCUUUUUAAACCUCUGAAAUCUUUUUUUUUUUUUUUUUUACAUUUAGCUCGACAUGAAAUCACUUCACCAAUCAGUGCAGAUAUAGCAGCUUGCUACGGAGCAGGUCAGAUAUAGCAGGUUGCUAUGGAGCAGGUCAGAUAUAGCAGGUUGCUAUGGAGCAGGUCAGAUAUAGCAGGUCAGAUAUAGCAGCUUGCUAUGGAGCAGGUCAGACAUAACAGGUCAGAUAUAGCAGCUUGCUACGGAGCAGGUCAGAUAUAGCAGCUUGAUAUGGAGCAGGUGAGAUAUAGCAGGUUGCUAUGGAGCAGGUCAGAUAUAGCAGGUUGCUAUGGAGCAGGUCAGAUAUAGCAGGUCAGAUAUAGCAGCUUGCUAUGGAGCAGGUCAGAUAUAGCAGCUUGCUAUGGAGCAGGUCAGAUUUAGCAGGUCAGAUAUAGCAGCUUUCUACGGAGCAGGUCAGAUAUAGCAGCUUGCUGUGGAGCAGGUUGUAAAGACCAGCGUUGGAGAUGAGAAGCAGGUACGGGGAGUCAACAUUUAAUCGGGAACAGACAGGUGACAAGACAGGCACAGUGUCGGCACACGGGUAAACAAGGACAUAUAACAAUCAACGGUGAAGCGGGGAACAGAACUGGGGAACAGACAGAUAUAGGGGAGGUAAUGACACAGGUGAUUGAGUCCAAUAAUCGCUGAUGCGCGUGAUGGGUGAAGGCAGGUGUGUGUAAUGAUGGUGGCAGGAGUGCGUAAAGCUGGGGAGCCUGGUGUGACAGUACACCCCCCCCCCC